UAAUUGAAAGUUUAUUGAGCUGACCAUCCCCAGGGUUCUAAAUUACAGUAUUUAUAUAUUUUGGCAAGCACUCAGUUAAUUUUUUGAGGUUGACUCACACACACACAAAAUGUGAUGUGAGAAUUUUCUCAAAAGUGAGACAUGGGAGAUAGCAUUAUAAUGUUAAAAAAAAAAACAAUUUAUAUGGGGAUUGUCAUUGGUCCAAUUCUCCAGACAGCCCAGAUGGGUACAAAUAGGUCAACCUGUUAUCAUCUUCCAGGAGAACGGGUUUAGUUCUUACUUGGGACUCCUCUGUACAGCCUGGUCACAGUGAGACAAUGGACGGUGGCAAUGAGGGACAAGCCCUUUGUGGGCUUAAAACUAAUUGGGAAGAUGAACACGUCCGACCCCUUUAACUUUAUAAUUACACGGCCACCUUCUCUGGCCUUACCAGGCGUCUCCUGAUUCUCCAAAAUUCCAAAAAUGGAAACAGCUGCUCCUUUCCCCUCCACCUGUUGUUAUCUCCAGUUGC
rnacentral:lncRNA from 1 species